ACACAAAACUCAACGCAUAUUAAAAAUGUCACGCGUGCCAAAUCCCUCUUGAACGCUUUGUUAGGGCUCGAAACUCUCAGCAACAAACUUACUACCCAUUGACCCCAUUAAUACACCUGAACCUUUGUUGAUGUAGGACUUAAAUCGUAAAUAACUGGCUUGAGCCUUUGGACUUGAUAGCAAAAUAGAAACUAGGAAGUACCAAGAAAAAUUUAAGACAAACACACCAACAACUAAUAUUGAUGUUGUAUGAACAGGAACUUUCACGGGUAACAUGGCUGCAAACACACUGCUAAAUACAAUUGCAGUCUUUGGAUUACUUAACUGUGUCGCCAAGCCAAGAACUAUCGCCUUAAAAUGAGCUGGUUUGCUAGUUAGCUCUGCGUCAGCAGAAACAACUUUGCUUUUGCUCGCACGCCACAUUUUUACCCCCAGAUAACAUAGAUAUAGACCACCAAGAAUUUUGAAUGCUACGUAAAACUCAGGCACUGCGUCAAAAAGUGUAAUGAGCCCCAUUGAGGCAAUAAAUGCAAAUUUACUUGCCCCCAAACCUAAACCUAUAGAAAUACACAUGGCUUCAGAUCUAGAUUUUGAUAUGGCUGUUUGCGCAACCAAGAUAAAUGAAGGGCCUGGUGUCAUCGCGCCAAUGAGUAACAGCGUAGCGAUUGGCAGUAGAAAUAAGUAUUGCUCCAACAUUUAUAAUCAUCCUUGUACUAACUUGCGUAAUUGAGCCCUAACGCCGCGUUAAGGGGUGAACAACGCUAUACCACCCAACUUAAACCAUUGUGCCAUAAACACAAAAACUAAAUUUGAGCCAAAACCGCCAAGCGUUGAGAAUCCCUCUUGAACGCUUUGUUAUGUGCGUGCUAUUUGGUUGCUCUGUUUAGUUGCAGUAAAUCCCAUUUGUUACCAUAGAGGUCUUGGAAUACCACCACUGUUCCGUAUUCUUCAACUCGCGGCUCUUCAUUAAAUACAAUGCCAUUUGUCUUCAUUAACUCGUAGUCUCGCCAGAAAUCGUUAGUUUGUAAGAACAAGAAAACACGACCACCCGUUUGAUUCCCUACUGCUUGCAUUUGUUCUGGUGUACUCGCUUGAGCCAAAAGCAGGUUCGUACCACUGGAAUUUGGAGGAGAAACUUGAACCCAGCGUUUACCACCACCUAAGUCAGUAUCUUCAACCAAUGUGAAUUGAAGUUUUUGAGUAUAGAACUCAAUAGCAUCGUCGUAAUUUUCAACGACUAGAGCGAUGUUUCCAAUUUGCUGCUGAACAGUUUUAGACAUGACAAUUUCCGCUAUUUCAAAACGCUGAUUGUACGCUAUUUUAAGAUUUUCCGAGAAAGCACAUAACGCCCAGUUAAGGGGUGAAGCACGCAAUGACCAAGCCUCCGCAUUGCACUUCAACACCGAAACCAACGCAUAGCAAAAAUGCCACGCGU
rnacentral:rRNA from 1 species